rnacentral:antisense_RNA from 1 species
UCUUAUGGGCGGGCCGUGGCGGGGAGGCGCUUGCGCCUGCCGUUUUUUGCUUUCGCGCCGGUCGACCAACCCUGCUAUCGUGCCGGCCCACCCAU